rnacentral:rRNA from 1 species
CUACGGGUUGCUGCAGUGAGGAAUAUUGCACAAUGGGGGGAACCCUGAUGCAGCAACGCCGCGUGGAGGGUGACGCAUUUCGGUGUGUAAACUCCUUUUAUAUGUCAAGAAAAUGACGGUAGCAUAUGAAUAAGCACCGGCUAACUCCGUGCCAGCAGCCGCGGUAAUACGGAGGGUGCAAGCGUUACUCGGAAUCACUGGCGUAAAGGACGCGUAGGCGGGUUGGAAAGUCAGGUGUGAAAUCCUACAGCUUAACUGUAGAACUGCACUUGAAACUUCUAAUCUAGAGUAUGGGAGGGGGAGAUGGAAUUAGUGGUGUAGGGGUAAAAUCCGUAGAUAUCACUAGGAAUACCUAAAGCGAAGGCGAUCUCCUGGAACAUUACUGACGCUAAGGCGUGAAAGCGUGGGGAGCAAACAGGAUUAGAUACCCUAGUAGUC